AACGCGAAGAACCUUACCUACCCUUGACAUGGUCGGAAUCCUGCUGAGAGGCGGGAGUGCUCGAAAGAGAACCGGCGCACAGGUGCUGCAUGGCUGUCGUCAGCUCGUGUCGUGAGAUGUUGGGUUAAGUCCCGCAACGAGCGCAACCCUUGUCCUUAGUUGCUACGCAAGAGCACUCUAAGGAGACUGCCGGUGACAAACCGGAGGAAGGUGGGGAUGACGUCAAGUCCUCAUGGCCCUUAUGGGUAGGGCUUCACACGUCAUACAAUGGUCGGAACAGAGGGUUGCCAAGCCGCGAGGUGGAGCCAAUCCCAGAAAACCGAUCGUAGUCCGGAUCGCAGUCUGCAACUCGACUGCGUGAAGCUGGAAUCGCUAGUAAUCGCGGAUCAGCAUGCCGCGGUGAAUACGUUCCC
rnacentral:rRNA from 1 species